AAAUGCGCGGUGGACCGAACGUCUUAGCGUGUUAUUUGGAAUUUUCCAGUAAAGUAAAUAUUAAUAGUAGUCACUUAAUAAGGUAGUUAGAGGUUAAGAAGAGAGAAUUUCGACUUGUUCCUUGGCAAUUUUCCCGCUCCAGUCCGGUCCACUAGGCGGUGGUAGUGGUUUUAUAAGACGGCUGCCAACCACCCAUAUUUGUAAGAAGAGGAAGUAGUUAGCACCGCUAAGCACCAGAUUUAAAGAAUCACAAGCACCGCCAGAAGUCACUUGGUUGCUGUGUUCUUCGACAGAAGCAUCACCUUUGAAACUGAACGAUUGGAAACGAGCAUAGACUGGACUCCAAAUAGGUGUUAAAGUGAAGCCACGUACAGACUGGACUUAAAUCAGGUUUGUCCCAACGCAGCGUCUCUUGGCCUUUGAGUAGCAGACACUGAAUGCUAUCUCCUGUGAUGUAUAGCACUGGGCUCAGAACACUAGUGAUGACAGAAGUGCAGUUCUGCCCUUGACAAGGCAGACUCUGAUGAGAUGAUUGAU